UACGUAGGGUGCGAGCGUUUGUCCGGAAUUAUUGGGCGUAAAGGGCUCGUAGGCGGUUUGUCGCGUCGGGAGUGAAAAUCCAGGGCUUAACUCUGGACUGGCUUCCGAUACGGGCAGACUAGAGGUAUGCAGGGGAGAACGGGAAUUCCUGGGUGUAGCGGUGAAAUGCGCAGAUAUCAGGAGGAACACCGGUGGCGAAGGCGGUUCUCUGGGCAUUACCUGACGCUGAGGAGCGAAAGUGUGGGGAGCGAACAGG
rnacentral:rRNA from 1 species